rnacentral:lncRNA from 10 species
GUUUAGACAGUUUUCUUAUCUUCUUCAACUGGACCUCUUUGCUGACUCAUGUCAGCUUUGAGCUCAUAUUAGUCUGUGAACUUUACCUGGCUGAAAUUCAGUUUGGCCUGACUUUGCCAUUCUUGAUUCCACUUUUGAUUCAGACUAAAAUAUAAGGUAAGGCUAUGUUCAAUACAAGAACCUUACAAUCUGAUGAACAUGGACUUACUCAAGGAAGAGAUUUAUCUGCCUCAUGUGAGAAGAAGUCUGGGUUGAAGUAGAUUAGGGCUGGAACAGUAGUUCAAGGAUGCUAUCUGGGAACUGAGCAUUUUUUCUUCCUGCUCUACUGCCCUGAGGAUGACUGAUGUACCUCCAGCAUCAAGCUCAAAUUCUAGUCAAGAAGAAAGAAGCAGCAGAAGAAGCCCAGCCAACUUGGGAUUGUUUCAUUCAUCAGAUCUACCAUUGUCUCUGCUAGCUGCAAAAAAGUCUGGGAAGGAAGAAGCAAAGAAGUCUAAGUUCUUUGGAGUAAGAUGCUCUCAAAUGCCUAGGAACACUGAUCUCCUAACUUGUCUUCCUGCUUUGAGUGUCCCUCUGAGGUUAAAGUUCCUGCCUCAGUCUCCAACAAUGACUAUAAGCCUCUCUGGGCAAGAUCCACGUCUUACUCAUUUUUGUGUCUGCAGUUUAGUUCCUGGUUCAUUGUAGGUUCUCAAUAAACGUUUGUUAGAAUGAGUUGAUCUCUUGGAUCCAGUGCCCCAGAAAGAUAUGUCAUUUCCACUGCUGCCCACUGAGGAGUGCCACUGGAGAUGAUCUCACAACAAAGAGAGGGGGAGAGGUCAGGAACUAACAUCUAUUUUGUAGUUACCACUGUGGUAUGGUUUGCAACAUGGCUCUGUAACCCUCAGGAUCCCUACCAGAUAUUUUCAUCUAUUCCCUUAUUCUCCUCAGGUCCCUGGCCCUCCCCUUUCCUCUGUGCUCUCAGCAGCUGACCUUGUCUUUUCCUUUACUGAGAGUAGAGGCACCUCUUACAAAUACUCUGGCCUCUGCCUGGACUGACUGGGCUAAAUUGUCUCCGAAGAUGGCCACCAACCAUUCCUCCCACCUGUCUGCAUGCAGGCUGCUCCUCCCGUCAGAAGAUGGAGACUGCUUCCUUGCCCUUCAAUCCAAGCUGGCUCAUGACUUGCUUCAAUGAAUAGGAAAUGGCAGAAGUGAUGCUCUGAGGCUUCUGGGCCUAGACUUUAAGAGGUGUUGCCCCUUUCCUUUUUCCCUCUUGGGAUCCAGCCUACCACAUAGAGAAGUUUGGGUUGACAACUAAAUGUGAGAGAGAGACAGACAGAGAGAAGAGGGAGAGCUGAUUCAGCUAGACCUUAGUCAUUCCAGCCAUCCUAGCUGAAGCACUAGCAUGUGAAAGAAGCCACCUUCUAACCUAUCAAUCAGAGCCCCCAAUUUUACUGACCUCAGUCAACACCAUGUGGAACAGAACUACCCCAGGGAGCCCAACCAACCCAUACAAUCAUGAGAAAUUAAAAACUGAUGUUGUAGCCUCCUGAGUUUUAAGGUAGUUUGUUACACAAAAAUACUGGAAUUUUGACCCACCUUCACCUCCAAUGCCAACCUAGUAAACCUGGAUAUAUCUUUCAAAAUUUGGCUCAAGUGUCAACUCUUUCAUGAACCCUCUGUAUCCUUUUCUUGCUCAUUCAAGCCCUAUUUUCUCUUCUCCUCCCCAAAAUUCCAUAGUACUUUGUAUUACAAACUAUGUGCUUACAACCCCCAAAGUCUCUGGGCAUCCAGAAGGCAGAGAUUUGGCUUAAUUCAUUUUUGCCUCUGCCUAGCCUAACACCCGGCACAUUUAGAUAUUUAGUUAUUGUUUGCUGAAUGAAUGGAUGCAUGAAGAAGAAAAUUUAACAGAUGAUAUCUACAGGCACAUCUGGCUCCAAAAUUGAAUCAUGUCAUCUAGCAAUGCUCAGUAAAGUUAACAUAAGCAAUUUC